rnacentral:rRNA from 1 species
CACAAGCGGUGGAGCAUGUGGUUAAUUCGACGCAACGCGAAGAACCUUACAGGGCUUGACAUCCCCUGACCGCGUAUGAAAGUACGUUUUCACCCUCGGGUGACAGGGAGACAGGUGGUGCAUGGUUGUCGUCAGCUCGUGUCGUGAGAUGUUGGGUUAAGUCCCGCAACGAGCGCAACCCCUACGUUUAGUUGCUAACAGGUGAAGCUGAGCACUCUAGACGAACUGCCGUUGACAAAACGGAGGAAGGUGGGGAUGACGUCAAAUCAUCAUGCCCCUUAUGUUCUGGGCUACACACGUGCUACAAUGGCCGGUACAGACGGACGCAAAGCCGCGAGGUGGAGCAAAUCCUAAAAAGCCGGUCUCAGUUCGGAUUGCAGGCUGCAAUUCGCCUGCAUGAAGUCGGAAUCGCUAGUAAUCGCAGGUCAGCAUACUGCGGUGAAUACGUUCCCGGGCCUU